rnacentral:rRNA from 1 species
GACGAACGCUGGCGGCGUGCUUAACACAUGCAAGUCGAACGAUGAAGCCUAGCUUGCUAGGUGGAUUAGUGGCGAACGGGUGAGUAAUACGUGAGUAACCUACCUUUAACUCUGGGAUAAGCCUGGGAAACUGGGUCUAAUACCGGAUACGACCAAUCUCCGCAUGGGGUGUUGGUGGAAAGCGUUAUGUAGUGGUUAUAGAUGGGCUCACGGCCUAUCAGCUUGUUGGUGAGGUAACGGCUCACCAAGGCGACGACGGGUAGCCGGCCUGAGAGGGUGACCGGCCACACUGGGACUGAGACACGGCCCAGACUCCUACGGGAGGCAGCAGUGGGGAAUAUUGCACAAUGGGCGCAAGCCUGAUGCAGCGACUCCGCGUGAGGGAUGACGGCCUUCGGGUUGUAAACCUCUGUUAGCAGGGAAGAAGAGAAAUUGACGGUACCUGCAGAGAAAGCGCCGGCUAACUACGUGUCAGCAGCCGCGGUUAAUACGUAGGGCGCGAGCGUUGUCCGGAAUUAUUGGGCGUUAAGAGCUUGUAGGCGGUUUGUCGCGUCUGCUGUGAAAGGCCGGGGCUUAACCCCGUGUAUUGCAGUGGGUACGGGCAGACUAGAGUGCAGUAGGGGAGACUGGAAUUCCUGGUGUAGCGGUGGAAUGCGCAGAUAUCAGGAGGAACACCGAUGGCGAAGGCAGGUCUCUGGGCUGUAACUGACGCUGAGAAGCGAAAGCAUGGGGAGCGAACAGGAUUAGAUACCCUGGUAGUCCAUGCCGUAAACGUUGGGCACUAGGUGUGGGGGACAUUCCACGUUUUCCGCGCCGUAGCUAACGCAUUAAGUGCCCCGCCUGGGGAGUACGGCCGCAAGGCUAAAACUCAAAGAAAUUGACGGGGGCCCGCACAAGCGGCGGAGCAUGCGGAUUAAUUCGAUGCAACGCGAAGAACCUUACCAAGGCUUGACAUAUACUGGACCGCAUCAGAGAUGGUGUUUCCCUUCGGGGCUGGUAUACAGGUGGUGCAUGGUUGUCGUCAGCUCGUGUCGUGAGAUGUUGGGUUAAGUCCCGCAACGAGCGCAACCCUCGUUCUAUGUUGCCAGCACGUUAUGGUGGGGACUCAUAGGAGACUGCCGGGGUCAACUCGGAGGAAGGUGGGGAUGACGUCAAAUCAUCAUGCCCCUUAUGUCUUGGGCUUCACGCAUGCUACAAUGGCCGGUACAGAGGGUUGCGAUACUGUGAGGUGGAGCUAAUCCCUAAAAACCGGUCUCAGUUCGGAUUUGGGGUCUGCAACUCGACCCCACGAAGUCGGAGUCGCUAGUAAUCGCAGAUCAGCAACGAUGCGGCGAAUAAGUUCCCGGGC